UAGCUAUCCAGAAGAUAUGAAGGAGAUUCUGCACAUCCUGGAGCUGGCCUGGUGGAGCUGAGAGCAGAUGGAUGGAUGGACCCAGCGCUGCUGAUCCGUGGCUGUGCAUUGUACACGGAACCACUCACGUGAUUCCUGUCGAGCCAAAAUAUUCUUUCAGAAAGAGAAUUGACCAGAUGCCUUAUUAUUAUUGCUCACAAUACUGUCCUCAGAGUACAGCAAUCCAUCACGGGGCUCGGCACAGCCCUACAGAAAAGUCCCUGACACAUUUGUGCAGAAGGGCCAGGUGUAUUGAGAGCAUGGGGACUGAGGGAUGUACAGGAAGCCAAGCUGGGAGUAGAAGCACAGCCACAAAUGCAUGCUCGCAGGUAAGGGGUGUCUGAACAUUACCUCCUUCAGAGGAAUCCAAUCCAUUAGUUGAGUGUACCACUCUUCAAGUUGUCUCAGUGGAGCUCCCAGAGUAGGGAUGAAGUCCA
rnacentral:lncRNA from 1 species